rnacentral:sRNA from 1 species
UUUUUUUAAUGUAUUUAAGAAAACAAGAGCUGCUUCUUGGAAAAACAAAAUCAGAAACACUGAUACAACUGUGGCAAUCUAAUAAGGGGAAGAGGAGGUUAAUUCCAGUACUAGAAAUGAGAAAUGGAAUGUGGUUCUGAAACGAUAAUGUUCAAAUCUGAGUGGAAUUACUUUUGUUUCAGGAAAGAUCCAGUCAAGCAAAACCCUGGGGAAUGAAAAGGAAGGAAAGAAAGAGGAAGAGAGUCAGGGGAAGAAAGGAAGAAAAGGAAAGGAAGGGAGAAAGAUAGAAAAGGAAAUGUCUCAACAGAUAUUGUAAACUUCCCAAUAAAACAAUUCUCUUUAAAAUCUAAAAACAGAAACAGAAAUUUAUUAAGCCAUAUCCUCAUUGCCUUUGAUGGUACUAAGAACAAGAAAACCCAUUUACACAUCACUGUUUAGAAUUUCUG